UACGUAGGGUGCAAGCGUUAAUCGGAAUUACUGGGCGUAAAGCGUGCGCAGGCGGCUUUGCAAGACAGAUGUGAAAUCCCCGGGCUCAACCUGGGAACUGCAUUUGUAACUGCAAGGCUAGAGUACGGCAGAGGGGGAUGGAAUUCCGCGUGUAGCAGUGAAAUGCGUAGAUAUGCGGAGGAACACCGAUGGCGAAGGCAAUCCCCUGGGCCUGUACUGACGCUCAUGCACGAAAGCGUGGGGAGCAAACAGG
rnacentral:rRNA from 1 species